UUCCUACGGGGGGCAGCAGUGGGGAAUUUUGGACAAUGGGCGCAAGCCUGAUCCAGCCAUGCCGCGUGCGGGAAGAAGGCCUUCGGGUUGUAAACCGCUUUUGUCAGGGAAGAAAAGCUCUGGGCUAAUACCUCGGAGUGAUGACGGUACCUGAAGAAUAAGCACCGGCUAACUACGUGCCAGCAGCCGCGGUAAUACGUAGGGUGCAAGCGUUAAUCGGAAUUACUGGGCGUAAAGCGUGCGCAGGCGGUUGUGCAAGACAGAUGUGAAAUCCCCGGGCUUAACCUGGGAACUGCAUUUGUGACUGCACGGCUGGAGUGCGGCAGAGGGGGAUGGAAUUCCGCGUGUAGCAGUGAAAUGCGUAGAUAUGCGGAGGAACACCGAUGGCGAAGGCAAUCCCCUGGGCCUGCACUGACGCUCAUGCACGAAAGCGUGGGGAGCAAACAGGAUUAGAUACCCCGGUAGUCCCU
rnacentral:rRNA from 1 species